GGGGCCGCGUGUGCAGCCUUCCUCUCCACGCCGCCGGCUCCCUCCGCCCCGCGGCUGUAAAACGCCCAGAAAGCUGGCGCUGUGGAAAAAAACAGCAUUUCUCCUCAAAAACGGGCAAUCCGUGGAUUGCAGCACACGAAGUUGGAAAAAUGAGGUCCCCGUCUUUUCUUUGUUCUCUCACUUGAAUGGAACUUGAUCUUUUACUUAAACCAAAGACUGGCUGUCGGAGCUGUUGCACAGUUCUGUGAUUUAACCAGACAGGAUUCCUCUUCAUUCCAGUCCUGGGAGCACGGAGGCUGGGCUCUUCCUCAAAGGCCUGGAGCAGCAUAUAGAGUUCCUGAGCCAGGGAUCAGAUCUGAGCCCCACUUGCAACCUAAGCUGAAGCUCCGGAUCUUUUAACCCACUGUGCCGGCCAGGGAUGGAAACUGCGGAUUGAACAUGCAUCCUGGUGCUGCAGAGAUGCCUCUGAUCCCAGUGCACCACAGUGGGAACUCCAGAAAUGACCGGAUUUAUCAGGACUGGUGACCCGGUCAUCAGUCCGUUCUCUUGGGCCACAUGGAUAGUGCCAUUUCCUCUUUAGUGGCCCAGAGGACCCCCUGCUCCUGAGGACACGGCACUUUAGUGAGACAGGGUGGGUUGACAGGGAUGCUUCCUCUGUAAAGUGGGAGAAGAGAAAUUAUAAAAGGGGAGGAAGACAGAAAACCAGCUUCAUCCACACUAGUUGUCGUGCACAUGAAUCUUGGAAAAGAGUAAAUGAAAGUUGAGGAUCUGGAAACUGUCUCUCUUUGGAAAUUUAUCAAGAUGUGCCAUCACCUCGGGGUGAAGACAGACCCCCUUCAAACCCUGUUAAUAGCUCUAUUUUUUGUGUGGUUGAUUUUUUAGGGCCACACCCGAGGUAUAUGGAGGCUCCUAGGCUAGGGUCCAAAUCGGAGCUGUAGCCGCCAGCCUACAUCUCAGCCACAGCCACAGCCACGUCAUAACCAAGCCAAGUGUGUGACCUACACCACAGCUCAUGGCAACAACGGAUCCUUAAUCCACUGAGGGAGGCCAGGAAUUGAACCUGUGUCCUGUCCUCAUGGAUGCUAGUCAUAACCACAAUGGGAAUCCCAAUAGCUCUGUUUUAUACUAUAUAUGAACUGUAGUUAAAACUCAGGUGACUAACCCCACUUUCUUUCAACAUCGCUGUCCUAGGAAAACAAGUUUUCCGUGUUUCUUUCCCCUAGUUAUCAAAUCUCUCACUUGUAGGCAUCAAAAAUUGCCUUGUGUGUUAAUAGUUGUGGAAACUGUUAAUACUACCUGCUGAACACACAGGAGCUGAAAAGAUUGGUUGUAUUAGAGUACAAAGAAAAAAUUAAUCAUUAAUUUUAUCUUUACACCCUCCCGCAAGAAAUCCAGCUUCAGUUGUCCCAGAAUUGUUGCUUUGUGACCAGCAGGUGGCACUACCACCUCACAGUUGUUUUGGUGACCGAGUUGAUUGCUGACUCAUUGAUUUGGGGAAAAUUGCAUUUUGUCCUCAGCUGUAGGUUAAGGUGAAGUGGAAACAAAGUUCUCAGCUUUUUCCUUCUCUCUCACUCUGGUCUCUUUCUGAUUUUUUUUCCCCUUCAAAGAUGAGCCAGCCUUGGAGUUCUCAUCAUGGCUCAGUGGUUAACGAAUCUGACUAGGAACCGUGAUGUUGCGGGUUCAAUCCCUGGCCUUGCUCAGUGGGUUAAGGAUCUGGUGUUGCCGUGAGCUGUGUUAUAGGUCUCAGACUCAGCUCAGAUCUCGCGUUUCUGUGGCUGUGGUGUAGGCCAGCAGCUGCAGCUCCAAUUCAACCCCUAACCUGGGAACUUCCAUAUGCCACAGGUGGAGUCCUUAAAAAACAAAAACAAACAAACAAAAAGAAACAGAAAAACCUAAUAAACAUGGUUUAGAAAAUGUUGAUGUUCCAUCAUGAAUUUCUCUCAUCGGAAGUUUAUUAUUUACAAACCUUUAUUGGAUAAUGUGAUCUAGGGGACUAUAAGAAAAUGGGAUGAAAAUCAAAUGAUCCAUAAAUAUUACAUAUAUUUUCAGUUAUAGCAUUUAUGUGCACACACAAUAUUUAUAUUUAUUAUAUAAAUGUAUACUUGGUGGGGACGACAUGCUGUGGUCAAGGCCAGCAGGUACCAAUCCUCACUGGCUCACCUGGCACCACGCCAGCUCCAGGCUUUAAGGAGAUGUGUGUUCCCUCCCAAGGGAAAUGCUAUUACCAAAUAUCACCAUGUGGCAAAAGGUUACCAAGCCCAGUCAUUAGAUUAAUCCGGUAUUACCCAGCGAAACCCCUUACCAUGCAAGUGAAGACACCAUGACCAAAGAAGGGGUGCUUUGUUUAAUACUUUAUUUUUUCUUUUUCGGGCCACAUCUGCAGCAUAUGGAAGCUCCCAGGCUAGGGAUCGAAUUGGAGCUACAGCUGCCAGCCUACGCCACAGCCACAGCAAUGCGGGAUCCAAGAAGCGUCUGCAAACUGCACUGCAGCUUGUAGCAAUGCCAGAUUCUUAAGCCACUGAAUAAGGCCAGGGAUUGAAUCUGCAUCCUCAUAGAUACUAGUCAGGUUCGUUACCGCUGAGCCUCAGUGGGAACUCCUGGUGAUUUAUUUAAAACACAGCAGUAGCAGUGGCAAAGCCCUGAUCCUCUGUCCCUACAUCAGAGUUCCUUCCAGAGGUAUAGCUCUGACCUUGUGGACUUAAAAAAAAAGUUAUGAAUAUAGACUACUCAUUUGUCUCUUGAUAAGUGUCAUCUUCAUUUGGGCUUCAUGACAAGUUAUAUUUCCUUUUAAACAUUAUCAUCUAACUGAUAAUUUAUCAAAUUUCAUGCUAUUUACAAAUUCCAUAAUGUCUUCUGUGUCCUCUUCUAAGUGGCCACGUAUGAGAUGGAGCCUACAGAUCAUUCACAUGUUUCAUUUAGGAUUAUACUGAUGCAUUAAAUUCAGGACUAGCUACAUAAUUUGUUGCAAAAUGAAAAUACAGAGCCUCUUGCUCAAAAAUUCAGAAUUUCAAGGCAGAGACAAGAGGGCAUUAAGGGAAGCAUGGUCCCUUCUGAGCGUGAGGCCCUGCAUGACAACACAGAUCACACAUCCAUGAAAACCAGCCCUGAUUAAACCUCUUUGGUUUUAGCCAUCCAGCGUGUUACAGAUUGGCGUCUCUAAAGUACCUCCACUGGAAUUGCUUCCACCUAUAACAGAAAUGCCAACAAACAGUGGCCUAAGAAAGUAAGAUUUUACUUUUUCCAUGUAAUGAAAGACCCAAAGAGAGAUAAUGCAGGACUUCUGCCUGUCUCCCUUCCUUUCCCACUCUCUUUACCAUCUAGCUUUCUCCUCCUGACACACAAUAGCUGCAGAACCUCAGACCAUUGUAUCCACAUUCCAGAUGGGAAGAAUGAGGCAUGGCAGAAAACAAAAAGCAAAAGUCCUCUGGGAACUCCAUAUGCCAUGGGGCGGCCAAAAAAGAAAAGAAAAGAAAAAAAAAAA
ensembl:lncRNA